UACGUAGGGUGCGAGCGUUUAAUCGGAAUUACUGGGCGUAAAGCGUGCGCAGGCGGUUUUGUAAGUCAGAUGUGAAAUCCCCGGGCUCAACCUGGGAACUGCGUUUGAAACUACAAGGCUAGAGUGUAGCAGAGGGGGGUAGAAUUCCACGUGUAGCAGUGAAAUGCGUAGAGAUGUGGAGGAAUACCAAUGGCGAAGGCAGCCCCCCUGGGUUAACACUGACGCUCAUGCACGAAAGCGUGGGGAGCAAACAGG
rnacentral:rRNA from 1 species